rnacentral:rRNA from 1 species
GGCAGUCUGAAUACAUUGACUAGCUUGUUCACCACAUUGCUCCGACAGAGAACUACAAGUGAAAACUGUAAAAGUCAAAGGACUUGGCGGUGCUUCAUUAGCCUGUAAAGGAUCGAUUUUAUAAUCGAUGCUUAGGUUUCUGGCACCUUUACUUGCACAUUCAACAUCAUUACCAAACAAUUUAAAAAAAACAAA